CUAAAAUGGCAGCCAAUCCCAUGGCUCCCUCUGUGUCCACAGUGGAGCGUUCAAACUCUUGAAACCUCAACAUUGCCACUAAAGAAUCCUCCUCACUGCAAGAGACAAAAACAUCAGUUCAUUAAAGACGGGCGUCUUCUGUAUCGCCGAUUGGAUGGUGAAGGCGGCAGCGCUAAUGUCCUCAAAGCGAAGUGUGAUUACAGGCGCUUCGACCACCACCCUGGGUUCGCGGACCUUGACGUCCCCGUUAAGGAGUUCCUCUUCACCAAAGUCCUUCAGCCUUUCUGGUUCAAUGAGGGUCGGUCUGCGGCCCACGGCGCCAUUACUGAACUGAACUCCUUUGAAAGAGUCACCUGGAUCUGCAGGGCCCAGACGCAACUCCUCUCUGGAAGGCCAGACAAGUGAACAGUACAUGCGGCUGAAGACAGUCUGGCUUAAAGAAGAUAACCAUGCUUACUACGACCAGCUAGCACGUGUGUGUGGAUGUGUGCGAGUCAGAGAGAAAAAAAAAUCUAUUCAGAGUGAAUAAAAGGAAGC